rnacentral:lncRNA from 1 species
UUGGGAAGAGAAAAAUUAAAUAAGAGAAACAUACUGAAAGUUACGUCUCUGUCUCUACUCUCUGCUUGAGUGCUUCUUUUCCUAGAUCUAGAUCUGAAAAUUGAGACUUUGAGACCAGAGAGUCUAAGAGAGUCAGAGACUGAGACAAAGAGACGACGACGACUCACGACUGAGAUAGAGAUGACGACGAUCGAUCGAUCGACCACGCCGACUGUGAAGUAGUGAAGCUUCUUCUCUUCGUCCCGAAUCCACGCCGAGUCGCCGACUGUGAAGCUUCUUCUUCUCUUCGAUAGUUCGAUCUAUCGACCACGAGGUCCACGACGACUGAGAAGGUUUGAUUUUUUUCCUUUAUAUGAUUUUUCUGGUCAUUAUAUAAUAUAUCUCAGUGACUCAGUGUCAUUUUUUCCUUUAUAUUUUUUCAUUUUUUUUGAAAGAAAAAAAUAAUGUUUAUUGAUUUCUAAUAUGUGAAAAAAAUAUGUUAGACAACCUUUCCCCCCUUUCUAUGUGGAUUUAUCACUGGAGUGAAACUAGCUUUCUGUAAAACUUUUUCUGGAAAUGUUUAUUGAUUUCUAAUAUGAUUUAUUGAUUUUUGGAUGUCAUAGACUCAGAAAUCUGUCUUCUUAUUUUUGGCCUGUUUCUAGUUCAUUAUAGUUAACUUCUUAAUUAAGAUGCCUUCAUAAUCAUACAUAUAUGCAUAAAUGUAUGUAUUGUUUUCUUUAAACUCCAAUCUGGAAGUUGAGAUUACUUGAUUGAGUCAAAAAGGGAGAGUGUUCUUUUAUAUCUCCGACGAACGGAUCAUUACAUACAUUUCAUUUGUCAAAGUAUUAAUCAUAACAGUUUUACUUUUCAAAAAGAUAAUUAAGUGGGUUUGUCUGUUUGAUAAAUUGUCAAUUCCAUAUCUCUGUGUGAUUUGUUUUCAUUUUCAGGCAUAGUUAAGUUGAGUUGUAUAUCUCUGUAUGUGAUUUAGCUGGUUAGAAAGUGAUACUCGCUGUUAUUUGCUUUACUGCUAGCUAAUAUAUUUCAGUGUUUUAUAUUCCUCCCAUCAUUCAUCAUUGUAAGUGUAAUCUUCAAUUGCAUCCUAAUUUAGUUACUUUUUUAAUAACUCUCAUUAGUCAUUUGAGAUAAAAGUAUAAACUACAUAAUAGUUCAUAUAACUCAUCAUUUAUGCUAAAGGCUAGCUGAUUUGGUAGAAAGGAAUGUGUUUUAGGUACUAAAUGGAUGAAUCAAUUAUAAGAUAGUCCAUAUAUAAUGCACAUUUAUAAAUCUUUUUGUACAGGAUGUCAAGUCAUUCUUUCACUAGCAGAUGGGAUUGAUGAAUCUUAUUUCUGUUGAUGCCUUGAUGAGUUGAUAGUGACAUACUGACAUGUCAAAUGAAAUCAAUAUUCUUGCUGAGUUGUUGUUUUAAUAUUUGAAUGUGUACUUUAUCAUUUAUCAAUCAUUGUAUGUAAAUUAUAAUAUGUUACAACAACUUUUCUGGCCUUUAAUUAAGUGGAGACAGGACUGAAUGAUUGAUUAUAAUUAAAAUAUUAUUGUGAAUUUGUGAUGUACAACACAUGAUUUAAAAAAAAGAAAUGAAAAAGCCCGCGGACCGGGUCGGGCCGGCCCCACCCGGGCCACGAGCUGCUUAAUUUCAGCCCACUAAAAUCAGGGCCAUUUUGGCCCGGUCCGUUUGCCAGAUCUAAUUAUCACCAGACAUCCGGACACUCUACAAAAGACUGUAGGGAUUUGAAGGACCUAAUUGAGAAGAAUGUUUAGAGUACAGAAUUAGUUUAGUACGUCGUGGACAAGAAGGUUCAAGAAGGGGGCAGAAUAAUACCAGUCAUGAGUAGAACCCUCAACCAUAACCAGUGCAAACAGUUCGACGAGUGGUGGACGUGAUAACAUGUGGCUUGGUCUGGAGUGCUAUUAAACCAUCGGAACCUAUUAAACUGCAUGAUGGAGUGUUGGUAAUCAUUACACGGGUUGGAUCGGUGGACAUGAAGAGGAUCAUGGUUGAUAACGGUUCAUCGAUCGAUAUAUUGUUCCUUCAUGCGUAACAAAUGAUGGAUUUGGAGGGAAGGAAGAUGGAGAUUGGGCAGGAGCCCCCACUAUACGGAUUUAGCAACAACCCAGUUUGAGUAGCAGGUGUAAUCGAAUUAUCGGUCAUCUUCGGGACAACUCCUCUACAAAUGGAAGUGAUCUGCAAAUUUUUCAUGGUACAUGUGGAUUCGUCGUAUAAUGUCAUACUCGGGAGAUUGACAUUAAUGGCUCUACAGGCGAUGACUUCCAUACCCCAUUUUAAAAUAAAGUUCUCUACACCAAACGACGUCGAUGAAGUCGUUGGAGAUCUUGACUUAGCAAGGAGAUGUUAUCAGAACGCUUUAGUCUCUUCGAGACUAUAGGUUAACAUGCAAAGGGAUCAAACCAAGGAGGUUCGAGUUUGAAGUGUCGAAGUCAGGAACUUAUCGAUUUUGAGUAAUGGAUUGUACAAAAGUCAAAAACACUAAGCAUGUUGGGAUUAUCAAGUUUUUUUCUUUUAUGACUGUAAAAUUUUUCAAGUUAUUAAUUGGAAUGAGCAUUCAAUUUUGUCAAAUGAUAGUUUUUGUCCAUAGUUAAUGUUUUGUGUAUCGAAUGUAUAAGGUCGGAUAACGGUAUAAGGUCGGAUGGAAGCUCGCAUAGGGGUCAGAAAGUUUAUUAUGAUAUAGAGAACGCAUAACAUCCUUCGGGAUGGAUCAAUGUUGUGAGACCCCAGAUUUUAUGAAUAAAUAUUUAAUUUUCUCGAAAUAUUUUUUUUAAUAUUAUGGUGUGGAUUUAAUAUAAUGUUAUAAUUGUGGAUAAUAUUUAUAAAUUUUGCAAGGUAUACAAGUUGUUAUAUUAUAUUCGAUUGGUCAGGGAAUAUUCUUUGUGUCGGAGAAUAUUCGUACGACGACACAAUCAUUGGUGGACCCCACAACGGAAUUAUUGUUGGAUUGAGAAAACAACAAAAAUAUUUUUAUGAAAAUAACGGCGGAAGUUUUACCGUUAAUACUGUUGAACUACUCGGUAGUAAAAGUACAGUAAUACGCGUGGUUGCAUAAUAACACACGGUAUUGAUUAUUGAUGCUUACGUGAAAAGUCAUUCAGUUUUGUUCAAUUAUUGCUAUAGUAAUUGUUGCAUAGUAUCUCACGUUAUUUGAUUCAAUUAUUGUCGAUAUUUAUUAUUUUGUUAAAAUCAAUAAUUGAGACGACAAAGUUAUUAAUAUUAUUAUUUGCAAUAUUAACGAUGUCUAGAAGUUCUGUCAAGGAGAGGUUAGAUAAUCUAAUUGCGCGCUAAUAGGGAGAAAUUCUUAUUGAAAAGCCCCCUCUUUCCUAGGAACGACCUGGUCGAUUAAUAUUGUGAAUUAUAAUAAAGAUGAUAAAUGUUGUUAAAAUUAUUAAGGUGAUUUUUAUGAAGAUUUGCUUAUUUUAUGGACCCCUAUUUACCCAUUUUUUAAAAUAUUCGAUAUAAAAUUUUUAUAAAGGUGGGGCCCAUUUGUGUUGGAAAAAUAAUUUUGGAAAUAGAAGAGUAUACGUACGGAAGUAUAUGUAUAUAUUGAGUGUAUGGUGGGAGAAAAUGAUAUGUGAAAGUGAUAGGUGUGUGAUGUGUGUGUGAGUGGAAAAUAGUGAAAAAGUGAUAGUGUGAUAGUGAUGUGUAAGAGUGUAGUGAAAUUAAUUUUUGGGUGGGUGGGGGAUUGAUGUUGGUUAUGGGGGAGAAAAAUUAAGUAGUAGAUAUUAUAUAUAUAUAUAUAUAUAUAUUUAUUUAGCAUGUGUUUAUAAAUAUAUGUCUUAUAUUUUAAUUUUUGCUUGGAUCCUAUUGGUUAGUUGAUAGACAUUUGCAUUGGUAUGAUAUCAAAACCUUGAUACGUAAGUCUGCAAAAUUAUUUCAUCCAUGCACAGUGCACUUCCAUUCUCCUAUAAAUAGAAGUUCAUUCCUUCAUUAUUUCUUACAAAUUCACUGAAACUCUAGAGAGAGAAAAUUAUAGAAAGAAAGAAGAAAAGUUUUCUGCUACUUAACUACUCUUAUAUUCAGUUCUUUUACGGUAAGGGGUGUUAUUUCUUUUGUAUUCAAGAAGAGAACUUCUGUUAUUCCAUUUCUUUAUUGUUCUGUUGGAAUAACCUGUAUACGCGGACUACCUUAUACUUGGUGACAUUCUUCUAUUAUUCUGUCUUUAUUAAUUUGUUGGAAUAUCCUAUCUGUGUGUUUUACACCGGACCUGGUCCCUUUAUUUAUUAUUCCGUCUUUAUUAUUCUGUCGGAAUAUCCUGUCUGUGCGUUUUACGCCUGACCUGGUUCCAUUAUUUAUUAUUCCGCACUUAUUAUUCUGUUGGAACAUCCUGUCGGUGUGAAUUUCACCUGACCUGGUUCCGUUAUUACUAUUCUGUUGGAAUAACCUGUCUAUGCGAAGUACCGCAUGCAUGGUGAUUUCUUUUGUUAUUCCAUUCGUUAUUAUACUCAGUUGGUUAAAAUUUUGACUUCUAUACUCCAUGAAAUUAGUGGAAUAUCCUUGAUAUUUGCGCUUCAUCNNNNNNNNNNNNNNNNNNNNNNNNNNNNNNNNNNNNNNNNNNNNNNNNNNNNNNNNNNNNNNNNNNNNNNNNNNNNNNNNNNNNNNNNNNNNNNNNNNNNNNNNNNNNNNNNNNNNNNNNNNNNNNNNNNNNNNNNNNNNNNNNNNNNNNNNNUUCUCUUCAGGAAAUGAGAACGUAGCUGGGACGAGUCGGGGAAUGGAGUGAUGGUCCGGAUGAUAGUAUUAGCUAGUAGUCCUCACUAUUCUGUUAAAUAGUGUGACAAUAAAUGUAAUGAGGACUUAUUCUGAGAGUGGAUAUUGUCUAGAAGACAAUAUUUGUAUUUAAACUCACAGAUCUCUUGUUGUAUAAUUAAGAUUGUAUUUUUAUUCUGUAUCAUGUAUUUGACGACUCAGAAUAGGUGAUGUAUUCCUAUUUUGGGGGCGUCACAAGUGUCCUCCCAAAUGGAUGACAUCCUUUGAGACGGACCAACGUUCUCCGGAACGGAUGACAUCCUUCGAGACGAACCAACGUCCUCCCGAAUGAAUAACUUUCUUUGGGACUAACCAGCAUCCUCCCGAACUUAUAACUUCGGUUAAAGUUUUCCAUGACUAAUUGAUUUACUCUCUUAGUGUAAGUUCCUUAUAAACAAGAGAGUGGGGGACAAUGUUUUGGCGUGAAUAUUUGGGUCUGGAUGAUACGAUGGGCCAUAGUCCACGUGAAGGAAUUUUUCCACGUGGUAAUUCCUUUGGGCAGUUGAGUAUUUUAAAGAAUCUAAGAUUCUUUAAUUGUAUUUAAAUUCUAACUCUUAAGAAAAAUGUCAGGAUAUGAUUUUAUUUCCUUUGCUUAAGAAGAUUGGGGUUAAUAUCAUUAAGGUACCUACUUAAUGAGGAAUUUUAUACG